AUGGGCAGGUUGAAGGUGCCGUAACAGGCACUGGAGGACCGAACCGACUAAUGUUGAAAAAUUAGCGGAUGACCUGUGGGUCGGAGUGAAAGGCUAAUCAAGCCCGGAGAUAGCUGGUUCUCCCCGAAAACUAUUUAGGUAGUGCGUCAUGUCUCACCCACGGGGGUAGAGCACUGUUUGGGCUAGGGGGUCAUCCCGACUUACCAACCCCAUGCAAACUCCGAAUACCGUGGAGUGCAAUCAUGGCAGACAGACGGCGGGUGCUAACGUCCGUCGUCGAGAGGGCAACAACCCAGACCGCCAGCUAAGGUCCCAAAUACCAGUUAAGUGGGAAACGAUGUGGGAAGGCUUAGACAGCUAGGAGGUUGGCUUAGAAGCAGCCACCCUUUAAAGAAAGCGUAAUAGCUCACUAGUCGAGUCGGCCUGCGCGGAAGAUUUACCGGGGCUCAAACUGGUAACCGAAGCUGCGGAUCCGUAAGGAUGGUAGGGGAGCGUUCUGUAAGCCUGUGAAGGUGUGUUGUAAGGCAUGCUGGAGGUAUCAGAAGUGCGAAUGCUGACAUGAGUAACGACAAGAGGGGUGAAAAACCCCUCCGCCGGAAGAUCAAGGUUUCCUGUCCAACGUUAAUCGGGACAGGGUUAGUCGGCCCCUAAGGCGAGGCAGAAAUGCGUAGUCGAUGGGAAACAGGUUAACAUUCCUGUACCGACUGUUACUGCGAUGGAGAGACGGAGAAGGCUAGGCCGGCAUGGCGUUGGUUGUCCAUGUUUAAGGUAGUAGGCUGGGGACUUAGGCAAAUCCGGGUCCCUAAGGCUGAGAGCUGAUGACGAGUUCCUUUUGGGACGAAGUGGUCGAUGCCCUGCUUCCAAGAAAAUCUUCUAAGCUUCAGGUAACAGUUGACCGUACUGUAAACCGACACAGGUGAUCAGGUAGAGAAUACCAAGGCGCUUGAGAGAACUCGGGUGAAGGAACUAGGCAAAAUAGUACCGUAACUUCGGGAGAAGGUACGCCGCUGACGGUGAAGGGCUUGCCCCGUAAGCUGUUGGUGGUCGAAGUGACCAGGUGGCUGCGACUGUUUAUUAAAAACAUAGCACUCUGCAAACACGUAAGUGGACGUAUAGGGUGUGACGCCUGCCCGGUGCCGGAAGGUUAAUUGAUGGGGUUAUCUUCGGAGAAGCUCUUGAUCGAAGCCCCGGUAAACGGCGGCCGUAACUAUAACGGUCCUAAGGUAGCGAAAUUCCUUGUCGGGUAAGUUCCGACCUGCACGAAUGGCGUAACGAUGGCCACGCUGUCUCCACCCGAGACUCAGUGAAAUUGAAAUCGCAGUUAAGAUGCUGUGUUCCCGCGGCUAGACGGAAAGACCCCGUGAACCUUUACUACAGCUUUGCACUGAACUUUGAACCUACUUGUGUAGGAUAGCUGGGAGGCUUUGAAACAUAGACGCCAGUUUAUGUGGAGCCGUCCUUGAAAUACCAGCCUGGUAUGUUUGAGGUUCUAACCUAGGUCCCUUAUCGGGAUUGGGGACAGUGUAUGGUGGGUAGUUUGACUGGGGCGGUCUCCUCCCAAAGAGUAACGGAGGAGCACGAAGGUUGGCUAAUCAUGGUCGGAAAUCAUGAGGUUAGUGUAAUGGCACAAGCCAGCUUGACUGCGAGUCAGACACGACGAGCAGGUACGAAAGUAGGUCAUAGUGAUCCGGUGGUUCUGUAUGGAAGGGCCAUCGCUCAACGGAUAAAAGGUACUCCGGGGAUAACAGGCUGAUACCGCCCAAGAGUUCACAUCGACGGCGGUGUUUGGCACCUCGAUGUCGGCUCAUCACAUCCUGGGGCUGAAGCCGGUCCCAAGGGUAUGGCUGUUCGCCAUUUAAAGUGGUACGCGAGCUGGGUUUAGAACGUCGUGAGACAGUUCGGUCCCUAUCUGCCGUGGGCGUUGGAAAGUUGAGAAGAGUUGCUCCUAGUACGAGAGGACCGGAGUGAACGAACCUCUGGUGUUCGGGUUGUCACGCCAGUGGCACUGCCCGGUAGCUAUGUUCGGACGGGAUAACCGCUGAAAGCAUCUAAGCGGGAAGCCUCCUUCAAGAUAAGCUUUCCCUGGGGCUUGACCCCCUAAAGGGCCGUUGAAGACUACGACGUUGAUAGGCUGGGUGUGGAAGCGCUGUGAGGCGUUGAGCUAACCAGUACUAAUUGCCCGUGAGGCUUGACCAU
rnacentral:rRNA from 1 species